rnacentral:rRNA from 1 species
GACGAACGCUGGCGGCGUGCCUAAUACAUGCAAGUAGAACGCUGAAGAGAGGAGCUUGCUCUUCUUGGAUGAGUUGCGAACGGGUGAGUAACGCGUAGGUAACCUGCCUUGUAGCGGGGGAUAACUAUUGGAAACGAUAGCUAAUACCGCAUAACAAUGGAUGACACAUGUCAUUUAUUUGAAAGGGGCAAUUGCUCCACUACAAGAUGGACCUGCGUUGUAUUAGCUAGUAGGUGAGGUAAUGGCUCACCUAGGCGACGAUACAUAGCCGACCUGAGAGGGUGAUCGGCCACACUGGGACUGAGACACGGCCCAGACUCCUACGGGAGGCAGCAGUAGGGAAUCUUCGGCAAUGGGGGCAACCCUGACCGAGCAACGCCGCGUGAGGGAAGAAGGUUGUCGGAUCGUAAAGCUCUGUUGUAAGUCAAGAACGGGUGUGAGAGUGGAAAGUUCACACUGUGACGGUAGCUUACCAGAAAGGGACGGCUAACUACGUG